UGUACUUGCGAUGUUUUUGUCUAACUUGUUGACAAAGACUGUGACAUACAGUGCAAAAAAUAAAUCCUCUUUUGCAACCCAGAACUCAUUAGUCAGUAUGAGUUUUGAUACAUACAACCAGGAAUAGG